AGCCUGAACGCUGGCGGCGUGGCUAAGACAUGCAAGUCGUACGGUGUAGCAAUACACAGUGGCGAACGGGUGAGUAAUGAAUCGCUAACGUGCCCCGGACUCUGGGAUAGCUGAGGGAAACUUCAGGUAAUACCAGAUGAUAUAUCCCUUCCGCAUGGUUGGGAUCUCAAAGGUCCGCC
rnacentral:rRNA from 1 species